rnacentral:rRNA from 1 species
GACGAACGCUGGCGGCGUGCCUAAUACAUGCAAGUUGAGCGCUGAAGGUUGGUACUUGUACCAACUGGAUGAGCAGCGAACGGGUGAGUAACGCGUGGGGAAUCUGCCUUUGAGCGGGGGACAACAUUUGGAAACGAAUGCUAAUACCGCAUAAAAACUUUAAACACAAGUUUUAAGUUUGAAAGAUGCAAUUGCAUCACUCAAAGAUGAUCCCGCGUUGUAUUAGCUAGUUGGUGAGGUAAAGGCUCACCAAGGCGAUGAUACAUAGCCGACCUGAGAGGGUGAUCGGCCACAUUGGGACUGAGACACGGCCCAAACUCCUACGGGAGGCAGCAGUAGGGAAUCUUCGGCAAUGGGACGAAAAGUCUGACCCGAGCAAACGCCCGCGUGAGUGAAAGAAAGGUUUUUCGGAUCGUAGAAACUU